UACAGAGGGGGCAAGCGUUGUUCGGAAUUACUGGGCGUAAAGGGCGCGUAGGCGGCCUGUUAAGUCGAACGUGAAAUCCCCGGGCUCAACCCGGGAACUGCGUCCGAUACUGGCAGGCUUGAAUCCGGGAGAGGGAUGCGGAAUUCCACGUGUAGCGGUGAAAUGCGUAGAGAUGUGGAGGAACACCAGUGGCGAAGGCGGCUUUCUGGUCUGUAACUGACGCUGAGGCGCGAAAGCGUGGGGAGCAAACAGG
rnacentral:rRNA from 1 species